AUGAAAGGCACUAGAAAGACAGAUGUGCCCGAGCGCAAACACAGCAGGAAGUCAGUACACGCGAGACACGGGUCAUCUGCGUCGCGGGUCCCGAGCUCAGUGCGUCGGCGGCAGCUCGUGGCUCGCUCGUGGCCCAGGCCUCGCCCUGGUCAUCGAGGCUUUGUCGGAGUUGUGAGACCUCGGAGGCCGUGCCCCGGUUCUUUCUCGCGGCGUUCUCGGCUCCUCUCUCCGUCUGAGCUGCAGGAUCCGCUGUCUGGUUCCAGGGGAGGGCGGGGGCCCUGUUGGUUCGUUACUCAGGAUUCAGGUGCGUUUACAAAUGAACUUAGAAGGAGCGGUGCGCGGGUCGCUCGGGGGUCACUACCCAACAAACCACCCGAGGUCACGGUCCCAGGGCCACCGCCUCACUGGCCCCCAGUCUGUGGCUCAGCGAUCUGGGCUGGGCCCCACGGGGGUCCUGCGUGUGGCUGCGGGUCGGCUGGCGCCCGCCUGGGGCUACGACUCCACCCUCACCUGGUGGCUCGGCGCGUGGGGAAGCUGUGGGGCCUCUGGGGCCACGUGCUGUCUGCGGGGUGGGGUGGGGGGUUGCAGGGGGGGCGCCAGCCUGGGGAGCGGACCCCGCAUCCAAGGGCUGCCUCGUCGUGGGCGCAGGCACGGAGGGCACCUGCUGGCGUGUGUUUCACGGUGUUUCCCGUUGUCGGGCUCUGGGUUUCCCCUCUGCAUAUCCUGGGCUUUCCGCUCUCCUCCGGCGCUGUCAGUAGGUCUUAUGUCGCUUUUGUCAGCGCACGUACUCGGAGUCUUCUCUGCUGCCAGGCCUUCUGCGACCGUGUUCAUGGGAGGGUGUCCUCGGGCCCCCCAGCUGCCUGCACACACAUGGGCCGUGUGUCCUCGUCCUCCCGCCACCAAGUGCGUAGACCGCGAGUGCGCACCCCGCUUGUGUUCGGGGCGAGCCCGAGUCCUACCUACCUAGGACUUCCCAUUUCUCUGUUCCUGCCAGUUAGAGAGACCGUGGAGCACCCCGGGGCACCACGGACCGAAGCUGGGGUUGGUGCCAGUGGCCGGCAGCUCCCCGUCCUCUGUGCCUGGCUCCCAGGCUGCCCCGGGGUCUCCGAGGACCGCCUGGGCCCCGUGUCCCGGAACCGCUGCGUCAGAAAUGACCCUUCUCUGUUGUCUCCGUCCCUUCCAAUGACGUGGGUCGGAACCCAUCACGGAACAUUCUGA
rnacentral:lncRNA from 1 species